rnacentral:pre_miRNA from 3 species
AAUUUAUACAAGGCAUGACUGUAAUAUAAUGAAUCUGAUUUUUCUGUGUGACUUGUGGAAUCAAUCCUAUUUCUUUAUAAUCACAUCUUGUAUAUUA